UACCUGACCACCUUAUACCCUACCUGACCACCUUAUACCCUACCUGACCACCUUAUACCCUACCUGACCACCCUACUUAUUUUGGUUUCAUUUAUUUAUAGCAAAGAAAAGAAGUGACAGACAACAAUACAGAUCAAAUCAAUAGUAAAUGUUGUGAAGGUUGGAAUGUUGGAAGGUUGGAAUGUUGGAAGGUUGGAAUGUUGGAAGGUUGGAAUGUUGAAAGGUUGGAAUGUUGGAAUGUUGAAAGGUUGGAAGGUUGGAAUGUUGGAAGGUUGGAAUGUUGUGCAGGUUGGAAUGUUGGAAGGUUGGAAUGUUGGAAGGUUGGAAGGUUGGAAGGUUGGAAGGUUGGCAGGUUGGAAGGUUGGAAGGUUGGAAUGUUGGAAGGUUUAAAAACAACACCUCCAAAAACAAUAUACAGCACAGAUGUAGACAAAGGUUUGUUUAAACACAAAACCUACUAAUUAUGAAUGUAUAAAUUAAUCAGUAAUCAUUAAACAAAUAAAUACAUAUUUUUGUUUUGUUUAAAUGUGAGAGUUGGGCUAUAUGGAAGGGGUUACUGAGUAGUUUGGUUCAUCAAGCUGACCUCCAGUCUUCACUUGAAGUUAUUGAGGGAUGAUGAUGUUUUGGCAAUGUGAAGAUAAGAAUUCCAGAGUACCUCUGUAUCUGAUAGAGAAUUGAUUAAAUGAGGUGUGACAGUGGGGAGGGUGAACAUUAUAUAGAUUAAUUGUAUAAUGAACCUGGAAGAAUCCAUUGAAGGGUUUAGGUCAACUGUCUUGGAGGUUUGAGUAUAUGUAGAUGAAAGUGCAUAAUUGGUGUACAUUAAGGUUGUAAAUAGACAAGAUAUUGAGUUUCUUAAACAAAGCUGCAGAUGGAGCCAGGUAAUUAGAGGAGGUGUCUAGUCAUGUACAUUUCUUUUGUAUGAUGAGUCAUUUGUGUAGGUAGAAGGCAUAUCUACUGGCCCAGACAAUAUUACAGUGAAUGAGAUCUGGGUAACUGAAGCUCCAGUAUAGAGAUAUGGGUAACUGAAGCUCCAGUAUAGAGAUCUGGGUAACUGAAGCUCCAGUAUAGAGAUCUGGCUAACUGAAGCUCCAGUAUAGAGAUCUGGGUAACUGAAGCUCCAGUAUGGAGUUAGGAAGCCUGAUAAGCCAAACCACUCAUCUAUCUGAUAUCAACACAUUUCAUCACUUUACUGCAGACUGAAUGGGAUCUUUCCAGGGUAACGUGUCAUCUAUUAAAACUCCCUGGAAUCUAGUGGAUGUGACUUGUUUCAUUCACACCAAUUGAGAUUCUGGCUCUUUAACAAUAUUUCUUAUUCUUACUAUUGAAUAAAAUAACGUAGGAUUUUUUUAUAUUUAAAGAUGAAUUGUGUAUUUGGAACCAUUCAGAAAAUGUGGCAAUGCCUGUGUUAGCUUAAUUCAUUAGUGAAUCAAAAUGCCUGCGUUAUCAAAUCUAAUUGGUGUCAUCAGAGAAUGAGAAGUACAGUAGAAGACAAAGCAGUAAGGUUAUUGAUAUAGAUUAGUAUGGUAGAAGACACAGCAACAAGGUUAUUGAUAUAGAUUAGUAUGUUAUGGUAGAAGACACAGCAACAAGGUUAUAGAUUAGUAUGGUAGAAGACUCAGCAGUAAGGUUAUUGUUAUAGAUUAGUAUGGUAGAAGACCCAGCAGUCAGGUUAUUGUUAUAGAUUAGUAUGGUAGAAGACCCAGCAGUCAGGUUAUUGUUAUAGAUUAGUAUGGUAGAAGACUCAGCAGUCAGGUUAUUGAUAUAGAUUAGUAUGGUAGAAGACCCAGCAGCAAGGUUAUUGAUAUAGAUUAGUAUGGUAGAAGACCCAGCAGUAAGGUUAUUGAUAUAGAUUAGUAUGGUAGAAGACCCAGCAGUAAGGUUAUUGAUAUAGAUUAGUAUGGUAGAAGACCCAGCAGCAAGGUUAUUGAUAUAGAUUAGUAUGGUAGAAGACCCAGCAACAAGGUUAUUGAUAUAGAUUAGUAUGGAUUGGUAGAAGACACAGCAACAAGGUUAUAGAUUAGUAUGGUAGAAGACUCAGCAGUAAGGUUAUUGUUAUAGAUUAGUAUGGUAGAAGACCCAGCAGUCAGGUUAUUGUUAUAGAUUAGUAUGGUAGAAGACCCAGCAGUCAGGUUAUUGUUAUAGAUUAGUAUGGUAGAAGACUCAGCAGUAAGGUUAUUGAUAUAGUUUAGUAUGUAAUGGUAGAAGACACAGCAACAAGGUUAUUGAUAUAGAUUAGUAUGGAUUGGUAGAAGACACAGCAACAAGGUUAUUGAUAUAGAUUGGUAGAAGACACAGCAACAAGGUUAUUGAUAUAGAUUAGUAUGGUAGAAGACCCAGCAGCAAGGUUAUUGAUAUAGAUUAGUAUGGUAGAAGACCCAGCAGUAAGGUUAUUGAUAUAGAUUAGUAUGGUAGAAGACCCAGCAGUAAGGUUAUUGAUAUAGAUUAGUAUGGUAGAAGACACAGCAGCAAGGUUAUUGAUAUAGAUUAGUAGAAGACACAGCAGCAAGGUUAUUGAUAUAGAUUAGUAUGGAUUGGUAGAAGACACAGCAACAAGGUUAUUGAUAUAGAUUGGUAGAAGACACAGCAACAAGGUUAUUGAUAUAGAUUAGUAUGGUAGAAGACCCAGCAGCAAGGUUAUUGAUAUAGAUUAGUAUGGUAGAAGACCCAGCAGCAAGGUUAUUGAUAUAGAUUAGUAUGGUAGAAGACCCAGCAGUAAGGUUAUUGAUAUAGAUUAGUAUGGUAGAAGACUCAGCAGUAAGGUUAUUGAUAUAGAUUAGUAUGGUAGAAGACCCAGCAGUAAGGUUAUUGAUAUAGAUUAGUAUGGUAGAAGACCCAGCAGUAAGGUUAUUGAUAUAGAUUAGUAUGGUAGAAGACACAGCAGCAAGGUUAUUGAUAUAGAUUAGUAUGGAUUGGUAGAAGACACAGCAACAAGGUUAUUGAUAUAGAUUAGUAUGGUAGAAGACACAGCAACAAGGUUAUUGUUAUAGAUUAGUAUGGUAGAAGACCCAGCAGUAAGGUUAUUGUUAUAGAUUAGUAUGGUGGAAGACCCAGCAGUAAGGUUAUUGAUAUAGAUUAGUAUGGUAGAAGACCCAGCAGCAAGGUUAUUGAUAUAGAUUAGUAUGGUAGAAGACCCAGCAGUAAGGUUAUUGAUAUAGAUUAGUAUGGUAGAAGACCCAGCAGUAAGGUUAUUGAUAUAGAUUAGUAUGGUAGAAGACCCAGCAGUAAGGUUAUUGAUAUAGAUUAGUAUGGUAGAAGACACAGCAGCAAGGUUAUUGAUAUAGAGUUGAAGUCUGAAGUUUACAUACACUUAGGUUGGAGUCAUUAAAACUCAUUUCUCAACCACUCCACAUAUUUCACUUAUAAUUCACUGUAUCACAAUUCCAGUGGGUCAGAAGUUUACAUACACUAAGUUGACUGUGCCUUUAAACAGCUUGGAAAAUUCCAGAAAAUGAUGUCAUGGCUUCAGAAACUUCUGAUGGGCUAAUUGACAUAAUUUGAGUCAAUUGGAGGUGUACCUGUGGAUAUAUUUCAAGGCCUACCUUCAAACUCAGUGCCUCUUUGCUUGACAUUGGAAAAUCAACAGAAAUCAGACAAGACCUCAGAAAAAUAUUUGAGACCUUCAAAAGCCUGGUUCAUCCUUGGGAGAAAUUUCCAAACGCCUGAAGGUACCACGUUCAUCUGUACAAACAAUAGUACGCAAGUAUAAACACCAUGGGACCACGCUCCAAAACCGCCGUAAAAUAGCCAGAUUACGGUUUGCAACUGCACAUGGGGACAAAGAUGGUUCUUUUUGGAGAAAUGUCCUCUGGUCUGAUGAAACAAAAAUAGAACUGUUUGGCCAUAAUGACCAUCGUUAUGUUUGGAGGAAAAAGGGGGAGGCUUGCAAGCCAAAGAACACCAUCCCAACCGUGAAGCACGGGGGUGGUAGCAUCAUGUUUGCUGCAGGAGGGUCUGGUGCACUUCACAAAAUAGAUGGCAUCAUGACGGAGUAAAAUGAUGUGGACAAAUUGAAGCAACAUCUCAAGACAUCAGUCAGGAAGUUAAUGCUUGGUCGCAAAUGGGUCUUCCAAAUUGACAAUGACCCCAAGCAUACUUCAGAAGUUGUGGCAAAAUGGCUUAAGGACAACAAAGUCAUUGGAGUGGCCAUCACAAAGCCCUGACCUCAACCCUAUAGAAAAGUUUUGGGCAGAACUGAGAAAGCGUGUGUGAGCAAGGAGGCCUACAAACCUCACUCAGUUACACCAGCUCUAUCAGGAGGAAUGGGCCAGAAUUCACCCAACUUAUUGUGGGAAACUUGUGGAAGGCUACCUGAAACGUUUGACCCAAAUUAAACCAUUUAAAGGCAAUGCUACCAAAUACUAAUUGAGUGUAUGUAAACUUCUGACUCACUGGGAAUGUGAUGAAAGAAAUAAAAGCUGAAAUAAAUAUUUCUGUCUUCGAUUAUUCUGACAUUUCACAUUCUUACAAUAAAGUGUUGAUCCUAACUGACCUAA